rnacentral:tRNA from 1 species
GGGGCGGUAGCUCAAUGGCAGAGCAUCCGACUUUUAAUCGGCAGGUUGAGGGUUCGAGCCCCUCCCGCCCCACCA